rnacentral:misc_RNA from 1 species
GAAAUGCGAUAAGUAAUGUGAAUUGCAGAAUUCAGUGAAUCAUCGAAUCUUUGAACGCACAUUGCGCCCGCCAGUAUUCUGGCGGGCAUGCCUGUUCGAGCGUCAUUUCAACCAUCAAGCCCCGGGCUUGUGUUGGGGACCUGCGGCUGCCGCAGGCCCUGAAAAGCAGUGGCGGGCUCGCUGUCACACCGAGCGUAGUAGCAUACAUCUCGCUCUGGGCGUGCUGCGGGUUCCGGCCGUUAAACCACCUUAGUAACCCAAGGUUGACCUCGGAUCAGGUAGGAAGACCCGCUGAACUUAAGC